rnacentral:rRNA from 1 species
GUAGGGAAUAUUGGGCAAUGGAUGCAAGUCUGACCCAGCCAUCCCGCGUGCCGGAAGAAGGCCCUCAGGGUUGUAAACGGCUUUUGACGGUGAAGAACCGACAGGAUGCGUCCUGUUUUGACGGUAGCCGUUGAAAAAGCACCGGCUAACUCCGUGCCAGCAGCCGCGGUAAUACGGAGGGUGCGAGCGUUGUCCGGAUUUAUUGGGUUUAAAGGGUGCGUAGGCUGGAAGGUCAGUCAGCGGUGAAAAGCUAUCGCUUAACGAUAGUCUUGCCGCAGAUACUUCCUUUCUUGGAUGAGGAGGAGGCCACUGGAACGGAUGGUGUAGCGGUGAAAUGCAUAGAUAUCAUCCAGAACACCGAUUGCGAAGGCAGGUGGCUGUACCUUAAUCGACGCUGAUGCACGAAAGCAUGGGGAGCAAACAGGAUUAGAAACCCGGGUAGUCC